AAUCAGAACAAAGGAAGACGAAGCAGAAGAGAAAUGGCAACGACCAGCAAGAGAAGGAAAUAUGCGUGCAGCACCGAUCACGCCCAGUAUUUUGGGUCAUGUUGCCAAAGAGGGACCCAAGGGUUGUAUUUAUGCCGAGAAAAAGAUGGCUAUGCUGUUAGCUACAAGCAACAUCCCAUUCACGUUUGCGGAUGUUUUCAACACGUCCAUGAAGGAUAUGUUCCCGGAUUCGGAGAUCGCUGGCCAGUACGCAAAUGGCAGAACAAUGGCACUGGAAUACUGAACGGUGCCAUCAUACAUGCCAACCCUCCCGAAUUUUCCGAGAGAAUCCCGAAUUUCGGUGCCCUUCCUGAAAGCCACCAUUCUCCAGAAUUUCUCCUAAUUUCACCCGGACAACAAAAGUGCUAAACCAUCCUUAACUGGGCUUCCGUUGCCGGGCGGACAAUAAUAACGGUGACACCUUGAAGUCAAGGCGGGAAUCAGAACAAAGGAAGACGAAGCAGAAGAGAAAUGGCAACGACCAGCAAGAGAAGGAAAUAUGCGUGCAGCACGGAUCACGACCCAGUAUUUUGGGGUCAUGUUGCUGAAGGUAGACCCAAGGAUGGUGUUUAUGCCGAGACAAAGAUGGCUAUGCUGUUAGCUACAAGCUACAUGUCCCUGAAGGACAUGUUCCCGGAUUGGGAGAUCGCUCGCCAGUAGGCAAAUGGCAGAACAAAGGCUCAAAUAGUGAAAGGUGCCAUUGCCCAGAAUUGGACUGUGCCUAAACCAACCCAUUGGUCUGAUGUGUGAUGAAAGCACAAACAGAAACUCAGAUAAAGAGUUUGUGAUAUUGGCCAGGGUUUUCUCUCCGAAAACUCAGAAGGGGGUGACGAGGUCCAGCUGGCCACAGGAUGUGGCAUUAGGGCUCUAGGCCAGCCUGUUGAUCACAUCCUCAGCAGCAUUUAUGCUCUUUGACGUCAGUGCCAAACAUGCUGAAAUCUUCAAAGAGUUUGUGCAGUUCAGACUCAGAGACUGAAGAUACUCCAAUACUGUGCAACCAGGUGGCCCAGCUUGCUGACUUGUUUUGGCAUAAACCGGGUGCUCAACCAGUGGGAUGCACAGCAGGCCAGUAUGAGGAUGUGGAGAAGCCUGACAAGGUGAAGAUGCUGGCAGAGCAUUUAACCAGCAAGAAGACAAAGUUCUUCUUCCUCUUCCAGGUUCUGAAGCCACUGGCAGAGUUCAAGGUUAUUUCAGGCUGAAGGAGUGAUGGUCCAUAGGCUACACAAGGAGAUGACCAGCCUGGUGAGAAGAUUCAUGGGAAGAUUUUUCCCUGCCAGCCUUAUUGCUGACGUCCCACUGAAGGACAUGAAGUUCAUGGAUGCCAGCCUACAGUUGCCAGACAAAGAACAGUUUCUUGGAGUAGCUGCACAAAGCCUCUGGGGGGACAAUAUGGAUGAACUUUCCUCUUCUGUCCCAAUGAUGAUCCAGGCAGUGAGAGACUUCUUUGUAGCUGUGACCGCAAAGAUGAUGACCGCAUUCCCCCUCGACAACAUCAUCCUCCACAGCCUGACCGUGUUGGAUCCAGAGUCACGGCAUCAAUUUUCUCCAAACUCAGUUAUAGAGCUAGGGAAAAGUCUGCCGCAGCUGCGGUUGGACCUGGAUAGCCUUAUGGAAGAAUUAGUGGAGUACCAUGUGCUUGUUGUAUAGGAUGUUUCUGUUGAACCAUCACUACCAUCUGUUGCACAGAGCGGGUUCCCCAGUGAAUACUUUCACUCCUUCAUGAACUCAGUGGAAAUGAUCACUGUAGAAUUAACCUCGCCUGUGGAUGCUGUUAUGGCCUGCAAGCCAGAUGAGAAGAUGGUGUUGAACAAAGGCAGCUAUGACUCCACCAGCUCCAGGUUCUCUAACCCAAGUUACUCUGAGCUUUGUAGCCUCCUCCUAUUUCCUCACUCACUGCUGGGAAUCUGAAGCCCUGUGCGGCUGACACGCCUUAUGGCCCUGUUGGUACUCGGGGUGAAGGAAAAAGCACAGAACAGGAACAACUGGUACACGUGUUAUUGUUAGCUGUGCUCUUUUUAUUCCAGCUGGUGAGGGAUCCACAGCCUGUAGCAGCCUCACACACCUUUUAUCACCGUUUCCUCCUCAUGUCCUCAAAGGGCCUGUCUGCACACUGUUAUAUCAUGAGUAAUAGUUGAAAAGAAAUCUGUAUACAUAAAAUAUGUGCAUGCACACACACACAACUAAAUAUGUAAUAUUUAGAGUCACUUUUUUAAUUUAGAUAAGGUAGUUUUUUUAGCCUUAGAUACAAACAGUGAAGGGCAGAAAGUGAGACCAUUUUCAAUCACUAAGACAAGAAUUCAAAUGAACACUUAUUUGUUUCUACUUUUGCAAGCUAUAAAAUUAUAGCUCCUCUGAUGAGACUCCUCUCUCCUGUCCCCAGGACAGUAAAACUCUUCAUGAGUGAAGACGACAUUGACUUUAGAGCUGGAAUAUAAAGUAGACCCCAAUAUUUCGCUUCACAUAAACAUCGUCAUUUAUUCCCUCUUACUGUGGCUGUUUUUCUUCCACCACGAUAAAAUCACACUUCAUGCAGAGCUCUCUCUCUGAGGAAGAGUUUCCCAUCUAAAAAUCUGUUUUCUGCAUUAUUCUCUUGCUUAUUACCCACCAGUCUAACGUUGUUUACAGCACUGUCGGACGUUAUUACUGUUCAAUACUGAGCAAACUUCUUAAAAUGAUGCAAAAUUGCAUACUGCUUAGCUGUACUUUGCUCUGCUUCAAUUCAGCAGCAUCAGGUAAUGUUCGCUUGUUGAUUCAUGGUUUUCUCCAGUUUUUGUUCUACUGC